GAUGAACGCUGACAGAAUGCUUAACACAUGCAAGUCAACUUGAAUUUGGGUUUUUAACUUAGGUUUGGGUGGCGGACGGGUGAGUAACGCGUAAAGAACUUGCCUCACAGCUAGGGACAACAUUUGGAAACGAAUGCUAAUACCUAAUAUUAUGAUAAUAGGGCAUCCUAUAAUUAUGAAAGCUAUAAGCGCUGUGAGAGAGCUUUGCGUCCCAUUAGCUAGUUGGAGAGGUAACGGCUCACCAAGGCGAUGAUGGGUAGCCGGCCUGAGAGGGUGAUCGGCCACAAGGGGACUGAGACACGGCCCUUACUCCUACGGGAGGCAGCAGUGGGGAAUAUUGGACAAUGGACCGAGAGUCUGAUCCAGCAAUUCUGUGUGCACGAUGAAGUUUUUCGGAAUGUAAAGUGCUUUCAGUUGGGAAGAAAAAAAUGACGGUACCAACAGAAGAAGUGACGGCUAAAUACGUGCCAGCAGCCGCGGUAAUACGUAUGUCACGAGCGUUAUCCGGAUUUAUUGGGCGUAAAGCGCGUCUAGGUGGUUAUAUAAGUCUGAUGUGAAAAUGCAGGGCUCAACUCUGUAUUGCGUUGGAAACUGUAUAACUAGAGUACUGGAGAGGUAAGCGGAACUACAAGUGUAGAGGUGAAAUUCGUAGAUAUUUGUAGGAAUGCCGAUGGGGAAGCCAGCUUACUGGACAGAUACUGACGCUGAAGCGCGAAAGCGUGUGUAGCAAACAGG
rnacentral:rRNA from 1 species